AGUUGAGUUGGUGAAUCAUGGCACUUGCAACGCCAGGGUUGUGGGUUCAAAUCCCAC
rfam:Salmo salar isolate Sally breed double haploid chromosome ssa26, whole genome shotgun sequence.